rnacentral:rRNA from 1 species
GUCUUGUUGAUUAUAAUUUCAAGUCUGACCUGCCCAAUGAUUUAGUUAAAUGGCCGCGGUAUAUUGACCGUGCAAAGGUAGCAUAAUCACUAGUUUUUUAAUUGAAAGCUUGAAUGAAAGGUUUGAUGAAAAAAUUACUGUCUCUGUUAAAAUUUUUUUGAAUUUUAUUUUUAAGUAAAAAAGCUUAAAUUUAUAUAGAAGACGAGAAGACCCUGUAGAGUUUUAUAUUUAUAAAAUUAAAAUUAUGUAUAGAAUUAAAAUGAUUUAACUUUAUAAAUAUUUUGUUGGGGCGAUAGAAAAAUUAAAUAAACUUUUUUUAUAUUAAAACAUUAAUUUGUGAAUAAGUGAUCCUUAGAAUUAAGAUUACAAGAAUAAACUACCUUAGGGAUAACAGCGUAAUUUUUUUUAGAGUUCUUAUCGAAAAAAAAGUUUGCGACCUCGAUGUUGGAUUAAAAUUUAUUGUUGGUGAAGAAGCUGAUGUAUUAGGUCUGUUCGACCUUUAAAAUUUUACAUGAUCUGAGUUUAAACCGGCGUAAG